CUUCCUCUCUUCCUCCUCCUGGCUCCCAACUUGUUUCUUCUUUCUUAUGUGCCAGUUGCUGUGCUGAGGAUAUGAAGCUAAAUAAGCCUCUCUCCUUUUCCUCAUGAAGCUCAAAAGCUUAGAUAGGAAGCAAAUAAAUAUAAUAUAGCAUGAUAAUUGCAAGAAUAUUAACAUGUCCAAAAGUUAAAGAGAGAAAGCAUAAAGAAGAAAGUGAUGAGCUCUGAGGGGUUGAGGCUUUUGCUCUCUCUUAAAUUGAUUGCUAUUUAGCACCCAUCAAAAGCUCUGCAGAGGGGACCAUCAUUAACGGCAUUUACGAAGACAUCCACUUAUUCCAACAGCAGGAGGAAGACCAACGCUUCUUAUCAUAAACACAAGUUCCUGCUAUACACAACACAUCCUUGAAUUCUAGGGAAGCCAAGAUGUACAUGAAAUGACUGCAGGUCUUAAAGGUCUUGAAUCUAAUUGUGGCACUGGGGCAUAUGUAGAGAUAAAUAUCACGUAGCAUAUGCUAAGGUGAUUUCGAAGAUCUAUUCUAUCUUAAGACACUGUAAGUCUAAUUAUUAAAUGAGCAAUACAGACAUUUA
rnacentral:lncRNA from 1 species